AUUGAACGCUGGCGGCAUGCUUUACACAUGCAAGUCGAACGGUAACAGGCUAAGCUGACGAGUGGCGAACGGGUGAGUAAUGCAUCGGAACGUGCCCGAUCGUGGGGGAUAACGCAGCGAAAGCUGCGCUAAUACCGCAUGCGAUCUGAGGAUGAAAGCGGGGGACCGUAAGGCCUCGCGCGAUCGCAGCGGCCGAUGUCAGAUUAGGUAGUUGGUGGGGUAAAGGCCCACCAAGCCGACGAUCUGUAGCGGGUCUGAGAGGACGACCAGCCACACUGGGACUGAGACACGGCCCAGACUCCUACGGGAGGCAGCAGUGGGGAAUUUUGGACAAUGGGCGAAAGCCUGAUCCAGCAAUGCCGCGUGCAGGAAGAAGGCCUUCGGGUUGUAAACUGCUUUUGUACGGAGCGAAAAGGUCCUUUCUAAUACAAGGGGCUCAUGACGGUACCGUAAGAAUAAGCACCGGCUAACUACGUGCCAGCCGCCGCCGUAAAAC
rnacentral:rRNA from 1 species